UUCUCGGUGGUGAAAUCGAAGAGGCCACACCCGAUCCCAUACCGAACUCGGAAGUUAAGCUCUUCGGAGCCGAUGGUACUGCCAGGGCGACUUGGUGGGAGAGUAGGACGCUGCCGGGGU
rnacentral:rRNA from 1 species